rnacentral:rRNA from 1 species
CAAUAGCGUAUAUUUAAGUUGCUGCAGUUAAAAAGCUCGUAGUUGGAUUUCGGGUGGGAAUGGCCGGUCCGCCGUUUCGGUGUGCACUUGCUACGCCCACCUUGCUGCCGGGGACGUGCUCUUGAGUUCACGCUCGGGACACGGAGUCGGCGAGGUUACUUUGAGUAAAUUAGAGUGUUCAAAGCAGGCCUACGCUCUGAAUACAUUAGCAUGGAAUAACACGAUAGGACUCUGGCCUAUCUUGUUGGUCUGUAGGACCGGAGUAAUGAUUAAGAGGGACAGUCGGGGGCAUUCGCAUUUCAUUGUCAGAGGUGAAAUUCUUGGAUUUAUGAAAGACGAACUACUGCGAAAGCAUUUGCCAAGGAUGUUUUCAUUAA